GCCAUCAUAGCUCAGUGGUUAGAGCACUGGCUUUGUAACCAAGGGUUUGUAAGUCCAAUUCUCACUGGGGCCU